AGAGUUUGAUUCUGGCUCAGGAUGAACGCUGGCGGCGUGCCUAAUACAUGCAAGUGAAACGGGUAUCUUCGGAUACCAGUCGCGGACGGGUGAGUAAUACAUAGGCAACCUGCCUUUAUGAGGGGGAUAACCGAGGGAAACUUUGGCUAAUACCGCAUGAAGACUCUAAGGCAUCUUAGAGGGAUAAAAGUUGGGAAACAACGCAUGAAGAUGGGCUUAUGGCGCAUUAGCUAGUUGGUGAGAUAGAAGCCCACCAAGGUAAUGAUGCGUAGCCGACCUGAGAGGGUGAACGGCCACAUUGGGACUGAGACACGGCCCAAACUCCUACGGGAGGCAGCAGUAGGGAAUUUUCGGCAAUGGGGGGAACCCUGACCGAGCAACGCCGCCGUGAAGGAAGAAGGUUUUCGGAUUGUAAACUUCUGUUAUAAGGGAAGAACGGAUUGGAUAGGGAAUGAUCUGAUAGUGACGGUACCUUAUUAGAAAGCCACGGCUAACUACGUGCCAGCCGCUGC
rnacentral:rRNA from 1 species